AAAACCGUAAUUUUUCAAUAUUUUUACGACUUCCUCAACGCUAUGCCUAGGCCUACCAAACAAGAUAAGCCUGAGCCUGUGCUACAGUGCUAAAGGUAAUUAGCAGAAGAUGCCCCCCUUCUCUACGGAAGAUUACCACAAACUCGUACAGAAGAUUUUACUGCUGGAAACAAAAGUUAAUCGGUUAGAGGUAAAUGUAGAAGUAAAUGGACCAUGUGGGAACAACACCACUCUAGCAAUGACUCAAAACAGUGGACAAGAGCAUGCUAGAACCCAGCUAACUAGCAAUGAUGGAACUAUGAAGAAACUGGAGGACUCUGUACAGGGUAAUAAACCAGCGACAAUCCUCCCUGGACCACAUUUGGUGCAAAGCCAAAGAGAAGACCAGACAAGGGAGAACGGAUAACUGGCAGGACGCGGCGGCCCGAUAUCUGUGAUCUGGCCGACUGGCCUGCGUUACCAUCCAGGCAUAACUCCUCCUCAACGUAGAACAAAGCAGCGGACAACUGAGAAGAGGGGAACUACCAAGAAACCUCCCCAGCAAACAGGUGUAAAACUACAAAACAGGUUUGCUCCACUGUUGCAGGACCAUGGAUCCCCCUCUAAAUUUCUGGAUAACCCUCCACCACCACGCAACAGGCCACAGAGAAAGCUAACGACAGGGCCUGAAAAUCUGAUUGUGGGUGAUUUUUCUGUAAAAGAUAUGAAAAGUAGUAACGACACCAAAGUACUCUGCUUCCCGGAGGAUAUGGUGUCUGACUUGGAAGAAAGAAUUUUGGAAAUUGUGGCUGAACACCCAACUGUGAAAAAUUUAAUCCUGCACAUUGGCUCCAAUGACAUUGAAAAACAACAAUCAUAAAAGUUAAAAGAGCACUUCGAUAAUCUCCUAGAAACAGUCAGCUCUGUGAAUGCUGAGGUGUGCAUCAGUGGUCCUCUGCCCCCGACCGGGAGAGGAGCUGAGAGAUUCAGUAGAUUGUUUUGGCUCAACAAAUGGCUCUUAACUGCAUGUGCAGUUCGUUCAAUGCAUUGUAUCAACAAUUUUAGCUUUUUCUGGGACCGCAGCCAUCUUUUUAAGACAAAUGGACUUUGCCUGAAUAAGAUGGGAGCAAAGCUUUUCAUUUCCAACAUGUUUUACAUCAUGCGUCAUCCAUCUGUCCCCACUGCCAAGGACACGAGGCAAGAAGAGGAGCCCACAAAGAAGGAAGAGAAAACACAGCUUAUCAGAAACGGCGAAGGAGGACCGCCAUUGCCAUCCCCCUCUAACCCUCCUGCCAUUACGUGUGAGGAUCCCUCUCCCACCCCCCCAGAGCCCCCAUCCAGGUCCACGUCUCCCUCUUUCUCCCUCCCUUCAGUAAACCUUUCUCCCCCCUCCUCCCCCUUGGAGUUCCAAGAGUUACCCCCACUUACCC
ensembl:lncRNA